GAAUGGAUGGAUGGAUUAUGCCAAUGAGUUCCGGACCCUUUCUGCGAGUAGUGACUGGAACCAGCCAGCCCUAUGCAACGCCUUUUUUGGAAGGAUUAAAUAAUUAUUUAAAGGACUGUUUGGCUCCACUUGAUCUCCCUACAGAUCUAGACGACCUCAUUGCUCUUGUCAUUAAAGAGCAAGUAACAUCUAAAUUAACUUUUUUUUGCUGAUGAACUGUAUAAAUGAGUGUCUAAUAGUGUUUUAAAUGUGUGCAUUCUUUAUUUUAGCAUUUUGGUGCAUUUUCUUUAAAAAUUUAAAAUUCCUUCUAAAAACCACAGUAAUGCGCCACCUUCAGCUGAAAACAUAGAAUUUGAGUCAUUUUGAAUAAAUUUUAGCCAAUGGCUAAAGAGUAAAGUACUACGUAAACCAGUAGAGUACUACGUAGCAGCUCCGUGCCAAAGUUAUAAAAGCAACGAGCGUCUCCGCCACGCCCUGUGGCGAGUGGGAGUUGGAUUUGCAAGCGAGUGUUGGAGGUCAGCGGUAGUUCAGCAUUAGCAUAUAGCAUUAGCAUAUCCUAGUCUUAGCAUAUCUUUUAGUGUUAUAAAUACUUAUUUAGUGUUAGAUUUGGCUGUUGGAUAUUGUAGUUUAGUUAGUGUUUGGCUGUUAGUGUAAUUGGGAAAGUAGUUCGGGUUUAGUGCUCCAUAUCGUCUUAGUAUUGGUGAGUAGGUGUAGUGUAGUAUGCUUGUGGUGACUCUGUGGGCAUUUUCCCGCGAUUCUGCACGUCUCCGUUUGAAGAGGGAGGCUGCCCACCGUGGCUCUUCCGCGAUUUAGAUGCAGCCCACCGACUCUGCUCCCCCACCACGGCGGGCUCCAGUCUGAGGCUAAAUCUACCCAAGACACUGGCUGUCAGACUGAUUUAGCUGCAAGAAUGCACUUGUCCAGGCAGACGUGAAGCCUUACCUGUAGCAAAGCCAGCCAGAAUGGAGUUCACAGCCGCAGUGUGUCUGGUGACCCACGGGGACCAUGAUGAAAAUUCAUCUUCCAGAAGGUCCCAGAGCAGCGGCCACACCCCCUGAAAAGACCAAGAUGUGAGGUGUCUGCUGUUGAUUCCAGCUUCCACCUCAAUGACAGUGCAAGCUCAGUGAACUGUUCAAGGUAAAAAAAAAUUAAAACAUUUCAGAAUUUUUAAGAUAUUAACAAUUAAAUAAGUAUGUGAUUACAUCAUGACAUCAUGACGGAGGCUACUGAUUCUGCCCCCGGGACACUUGGUGGUGACGUGUGAGCUGCUUCACCUGGAAAACAACUUUUACAUUAAAUAUUUUGUUUUUGCUAUCAAAAGUAAAUUAACUAAUAACCUGCAUUAUUGCAGGACACUCAGCAAAAUAUGGACUCUACACCAUGAGGCAGGCACACGUUAAUAACUCUAUAAGAGCACAUAAGGUGAGCAACACCACAUAUUGUACACUGUCCUGAAUUUGUUUUCUUUCUGCAUCUCAUUAGCCUGGCUGAUCACCUGAUAACUCCUGUCAUCUGGUUAUGACAGCAUGAGGAUGUCCUCACACACCUGUAACCUAUCAGCUCAUCUGGCAGAAUAGAGAGAGAAGAGACAACACCACAUCUCCUGUUCCUGGAAAGCCUUCAGCCAUCCUUCGAUGACUGAGAACCUCCAUCAGCUCUGUGUCCUGUCUGCCUACUAUUAUUAUAAUAAAUAUUGUGUUUGACAAGUUUUUUGUGCUGCCAAAUAUCUCAUAUAGAUUCCAGUUUUGAUAUUUUAAUGGGUAUUUAUAAAUUACAUUAAUUGAAUUAUCACAGUGCAUGUUUAACUUGCUCUAUUGUGAUGAAUUAAACUAGCACCUCACUGUUAAAAGCUCGUUUUAAUUUCAAGCAUGUUUAAGUAUUUAUGGACAUGAACAAAAACAGGAAAUAUAUAAUAUAUAAAAUUAGAUUUAUUUAAUUAAUAUAACAAAUAAGGGGGAAAGAGUCAUUGAAAGGCACAUUCUUCUGGAAGUUCCUGAUCCUGACGACACCAGCAGAGGAGACCACCUGCAGACACCAGAGGACCUAGAACCAAGAGAGCAGCUGUUAUCGGUAAAUAAAUAAACCAGGGCAGUUUUAGUGAGCUGAACACAUUACAGAAUAAUUUUCUCAUGGGGCAUUUUCAUAACUUUAUGCAGCAGACUGUAACUUGAGCCCAAAGCUACCGGAGAGCUGCUAUCCAGCAUGUUUCAGUGGAUUUUCCUGCUUUAACAGGUUAGAUUAACUGUUAAGCAGCUCAGCUAUUUGUUGCUGAUUAAAACCAGGUGUGCUGAAGCAGAUAAACCUCUAAAACAUGCUGAAUACUAGCUCUGGGGGCCGUGGAGACGAACCCUGCAGCUAAUCCAAUGCUAUGGCUAACGGCUACUUGCGUUCAGAGGUGGUUCUGGGAGUUACAGGCAACUCACAAGCUCACAACAAUAAGGCUCAGGUCUGCUUGUCUCCUCCAAAUAGACUUGGUCCCUUUCUUCUCGAGUGUCUGGGUAAGGAGGGGGAGAAACAUCCUCCACUUCUAAUAACUGCAUAGAGUGAAGGGAGCUAGCAUCUUCUAGUUAGCCGUCGUCUUCGUCACUGCCGCGGCUCCGCCCUCUCGGUCCUCCAGGCAACGCCUACUAAUGUUGCAUUUUUUUAAAUUGAUACGUGGGUGGAGAAGGACUCCGAGGCUCAAUUGACCCGCUCUUUAAGUUAGACAAGAGACUCUAUGACAGGAGGAGAGAGUGGGGCGGCUCCAUCAAUCGGCCGGUGGGUUGGAGUACUGAACCUGGGAUCAUCGGUUUUGGCAGUCAGCCGCCUGUCUCGACCUUCACGCCAACGCACUGUCCCACGUCAUCCACUAAGACAGACGAACCCGUGGAACUCGGCCAAGCCCGUCUCUCGCCACAAGAACGACAGCGACGGUGGAGGCUGGGCCUAUGCAUGUACUGUGGCCAGGCCGGUGACCUUGUGGGGAACUGUCCUGUCAA